rnacentral:rRNA from 1 species
CCCCAGACUCCUACGGGAGGCAGCAGUGGGGAAUAUUGCACAAUGGGGGAAACCCUGAUGCAGCGACGCCGCGUGAGUGAAGAAGUAAUUCGUUAUGUAAAGCUCUCUCAGCAGGGAAGAAAAUGACGGUACCUGAGUAAGAAGCCCCGGCUAACUACGUGCCAGCAGCCGCGGUAAUACGUAGGGGGCAAGCGUUAUCCGGAUUUACUGGGUGUAAAGGGGGCGCAGACGGCAAUGCAAGCCAGGAGUGAAAGCCCGGGGCCCAACCCCGGGACUGCUCUUGGAACUGCAUGGCUGGAGUGCAGGAGGGGCAGGCGGAAUUCCUAGUGUAGCGGUGAAAUGCGUAGAUAUUAGGAGGAGCACCGGUGGCGAAGGCGGCCUGCUGGACUGUGACUGACGUUGAGGCCCGAAGGCGUGGGGAGCAAACAGGAUUAGAUACCCGUGUAUG